rnacentral:rRNA from 1 species
AUUGAACGCUGGCGGCAUGCCUUACACAUGCAAGUCGAACGGCAGCAUGAUCUAGCUUGCUAGAUUGAUGGCGAGUGGCGAACGGGUGAGUAAUACAUCGGAACGUGCCCUGUAGUGGGGGAUAACUAGUCGAAAGAUUAGCUAAUACCGCAUACGACCUGAGGGUGAAAGUGGGGGACCGCAAGGCCUCAUGCUAUAGGAGCGGCCGAUGUCUGAUUAGCUAGUUGGUGAGGUAAAGGCUCACCAAGGCGACGAUCAGUAGCUGGUCUGAGAGGACGAUCAGCCACACUGGGACUGAGACACGGCCCAGACUCCUACGGGAGGCAGCAGUGGGGAAUUUUGGACAAUGGGCGAAAGCCUGAUCCAGCAAUGCCGCGUGUGUGAAGAAGGCCUUCGGGUUGUAAAGCACUUUUGUCCGGAAAGAAAUGGCUCUGGUUAAUACCUGGGGUCGAUGACGGCACCGGAAGAAUAAGGACCGGCUAACUACGUG